AACUGAUUUGAAAGAAAGAGGGGGGUUUGCCCUGCCGGACUUGAGAUUAUAUUAUGAAGCUGCGGCCUUCUGCUGGAUGAAAGAUUGGUUACUUCUUGAGAACACUGAUGUUCUAGAUCUGGAAGGGUUUGAUAAUGCUUUUGGUUGGCAUGCAUAUUUGUGGUACGACAAGGUAAAGGUUCAUAAAAUGUUCAAAAAUCAUAUUGUUAGAAAAUCAAUAUUUAUGGUCUGGACAAAAUACAAGGACUUAUUAGAGGGUAAGACUCCGAGGUGGCUUUCACCAGCAGAGGCCAAGGCCCGGAAAAACCUAAUAUGGAGGUUGGUUGGCUGAAAUAUGGGGAAAUUAUAGAAAAAGUAGGAGAAACUUGGAGGCUGCAGAGUUAUGAAAAAUUAAAGAAUAAGGUGCAAAAUUGGCUUCACUAUGCUCAAAUUCAAGAGGUUUUUAAGUUGGACAAAAGAACAGGUUUCCAGGUGGAAAAAUCGAAACUAGAGACAGAAUUGUUGGAACCAAAGACCAAGGUACUUUCGAGAAUGUAUAUCUUGCUGCUUAAAUGGAACACUCAGGAUGAGACAGUCAAAUCAGCCAUGAUAAAAUGGGCUCAGGACAUUGGGUACAACAUUAUGUUUGAAGACUGGGAAAGGUUAUGGACCACUGGUAUGAAAUUCACGGCAUGUAAUGCCUUGAAAGAGAAUAUUAUGAAAAUGAUAUACAGGUGGUACAUGACCCCAGUCAAGCUUGCUAAGAUAUAUCAUUUGUCUGAUAAUAAAUGUUGGAAAUGUAAGGAGGCUGAAGGGACAUUCUUUCACCUCUGGUGGACUUGCCCAAAAGUGAAGGCCUUCUGGGAAAUGAUCUAUAAUGAGUUAAAAAAGUGUUUAAGUACACUUUUCCCAAGAAACCAGAGGCCUUCCUACUGGGCAUUGUCGGUCAGAAGGUGUUAAAGAAGGAUAGAACCUUUUUAUGUAUGCAACUACAGCAGCAAGAAUUCUUAUCGCAAAAUACUGGAAGACUCAAGAUUUACCCACACUGGAAGAGUGGCAGACGCAAUUGAUGGGCUACAUGGAAUUGGCCGAGAUGACUGCCAGGAUCCGAGAUUUGGAGGAAGAAGCAAUGGAGGAGGAUUGGAAAAAAUUUAAAGAUUAUUUACAAAAAUUUUAUAAGUUAUAUGAAUGUUAAGAAUUCGCAUGAUUAGGGAAAUUCAGCUCCAGCAAUAAGAUUAAGGUAUGGGAAACUAAGCUAUAUUAAUGAAAGGACUAACGUUUAAAAGAACAUUAUAUAUAUUAUUAGUGUAAAUUGACAAUAAGCAUUUUAAACGUAAAUCACAAGUAUUUGAAAGAACAAAAGAAUGCACGAAAUAAGGUUAUAAUUUGCUGAAAAAUUUUAUUGUAAAGAACGCAAGGUGAGGGGGACGGGGGGAAGUCCGGUUGGUUAUGGAAAAAUGCUUUGAAAAGAUGAUUUUCUUCUUUUUCUUUCUCUUUUCUGUUAUUUCUUUGUAUAUCUGACCUUGUAUUUCUAUCUGGAAAAAUGC
rnacentral:lncRNA from 1 species